CUGACUGUUUUUAUAUAUUCAAUUACCAUCUGAUCUUUUACAGAGAAAGUAAAAACUUUCAUUGCAAUGUGCUGUCUUCCAGUAGCCAUCAAGAUCCAGAUAAACACAUGCUGAUUUCAAUUUGGGCUCAUCAGCAGCCCAGUUAGUGUACCUCACCCUCCACUUAUCAGUCCAAGUGUAUUGAUUAUCAGUCAAGUUACUGUUCAGGGCGAUCCACACACGUUCAUUAGAUGUUUCCAUCUGCAGCCACGCAAAUGCAUUACUGUAGGGAUCCAGAAUGCUGGCUAUAAGGGAAUUGUGAAGCUUGCAGUAUGUCUCCGCUUCAUGCCAUUGAAAUUUUUGUCUCAUGAGUGAAUAGCUGCU
rnacentral:lncRNA from 1 species